rnacentral:lncRNA from 1 species
AGCUCCCUUAAAAAAAAUUACAAUGGUGGGGGAGUGCCAAGAUGGUAUGGGCACAGUGGCUUCAAAACAUCGCCACCUGUCAAUCAUCGAGUGUAUAUAUAAAUAACUGGGUGAACAGUGCAUCAACUACUGUAGCAUGACUCGUGUUGUAGCAGAAAAUCCCAAAACUACUUUAGAAGUUUGAGGCUCAACUGAGUAAUUUUAUUAUAUGCUUUUAUUGUUUUUUUUAUGAGUGAGAAUUCUGCCUCUAUCAUCUGAACCCUGGCUGUAAAGACACACCCUCCACGGCCUCUGCACUGACGGUGACUCGCCUCGGGUUUCAUCCACAUAGGCCAUCCCAACCGCCGGCCUAGGGCUGCCAUACCUACACAGACAGACGGGUAGACAUUUUUACAUUACACUGACUAAAAUGCAAAUGUCUUUCAUUGUUGCAAAUGUUACUGUAUUUAGUUAGUGUACAAACCACUGACCGGGUGAAGGCCAGUCCGUCUGGUUGGGUCUGCACCGCUGACCAGGUGAAGGCCAGUCCGUCUGGUUGGGUCUGCACCGCUGACCAGGUGAAGGCCAGUCCGUCUGGUUGGGUCUGCACCGCUGACCAGGUGAAGGCCAGUCCGUCUGGUUGGGUCUGCACCGCUGACCAGGUGAAGGCCAGUCCGUCUGGUUGGGUCUGCACCGGGGCCUCUCUCACACACCUGGGCCAGCGUCUCUUCAAAACUUGAGACGGCAUGAUCGUUUCAGCCACAGAGUGGGAGCGAGAUGAUCUGGAAUAGAAAGCCCUGCUGCCACUGAAUGAAUCAGCGAUUCUACUGUAGUCUGUGUGGGUGAUGUGGGACUGACUGUCCUUCUCCGAGACACUGGAGUACUUGUCGCUCCAAGAUGUGUCUGAGACGCUGUAGUCCAUGACCUUGCUGACCUCCAACGCGUCUUUGUCCCCAUCUCUGUCUCCCAGGUGCUCGGAGAUCUCGCUGACACUACUCCUGUCUGUUUCAGUCUUGAUCUCACUCUCAAUGUCACUCUUGUAGUCCUCCCUAGGCUCUACUGAUGGGAUCCUCUCCUCACACCUCCAGUACCACUGGCUGUCAUUAUCACCACUGGCUGUCAUUAUCACCACUGGCUGUCAUUAUCACCCACCUUUUUUGUUGUUGUUUGUUUUCUCCGACAUUCCAAGCGUGACCGGUGCGAGGUCGUCCAGUGACAAAAUAUUAAUGUUGAAUUCUGCAGAGAAAACAUGACUUCAUGAAUCAACUGGACUCAGUAAAUUAUAUCAAAAACACUCUAUCUCUGGUUAACUAGCACUCAAAACAUAUUCUUGAAGAAAGUUUCUCAUUUCAUAUUGCUUUUCACUACAACUCUACAGA